AAAAAGGUAAAUAAGGGCACUAAUAGUGGAUGCCUUGACAAUCAAUACCGAUGAAGGACGUAGAACUCUGCGAUAAGUCUUGGGGAGCUGAGAGCAAGCUUUGAUCCAGGAAUCUCCGAAUGGGGCAACCUAAUACGAGUCAUGUCGUAUUGCAAUUACUUGAACACAUAGAGUAAUUAGACGGGAACCAGCCGAACUGAAUCAUCUUAGUAGGUUGAGGAAAAGAGAAUAAACAAUGAUUCCGAAAGUAGUGGCGAGCGAAAUUGGAACAGCCCAAACCUUAACAUAACCAUACGGUUUAACGGCCAGAGUUAUGAAAGGGGUUGAGAAAUUAGAUAAUUUUUAUGUAUAGCAGUUGAAUAAAAUCGAAGCCUACUCACUUUUAAGGACUAUCAGCUUGGGCAAACGCCCUUGAGUGCGUCCGAAAAAGUGAGUAGGCGAUGAUUCGACAGUUAUACAUAAAAACCAACAUCGUUAAAUGAGUGGAUAAUGAUAAAAUCCUUUAGAUCAUAGCAGAAGUGUUUGAAUGGCACACCAAAGAAGGUGAGAGUCCUGUACGCGAAAUGGUCUUAGGCAUUAUAUAUCUUUUUUCAAGUAGGACGGGGCACGAGAAACCCUGUUUGAAUCCGGCAGGACCACCUGCCAAGGCUAAAUAUAUUGAUUGAUCGAUAGCGAACUAGUACAGUGAUGGAAAGGUGAAAAGAACCCCGGGAGGGGAGUGAAAUAGAACCUGAAACUUAGUGCCUACAAGGUGUCGGAGCAGCUUCGGCUGUGACGGCGUGCUUUUUGUAGAACGAUCCAGCGAGUUAAUGUUGUCGGCGAGGCUAAGUCAAAUGAUGGAGCCACAGUGAAAGCGAGCCUUAACAGGGCGAACAGUCGGCAGUAUUAGACCCGAAACCGGGUGACCUAACCAUGUGCAGGUUGAAGCUGCGGUAACACGCAGUGGAGGACCGAACCAGGGCACGCAGUAAAGUGCUUGGAUGACAUGUGGUUAGCGGUGAAAUGCCAAUCGAACUCGGAGAUAGCUGGUUCUCCUCGAAAUAGCUUUAGGGCUAGCGUUGUGUUAGUAAUCAUCAGGGGUAGAGCUCUGAAAAGGUUCGGGGCCGGCAACGGUACCCACCCUUAUCAAACUACGAAUACUGGUGGUGUAACCACAGCAGUCAGAACGGCGGGGCUAAGCUCGUCGCUCAAAAGGGAAACAGCCCAGAUCAUCGUCUAAGGUCCCUAAUUAACACUAAGUGGGAAACAAAGUGAAAUUUCUUAAACAGCUAGGAUGUUGGCUUAGAAGCAGCCAUUCAUUUAAAGAGUGCGUAACAGCUCACUAGUCAAGAGAUUUUGCGUGGAAAAUGUAACGGGGCUAAAGUGUUAAACCGAAGACAUGGACUUCUGCUUAUGCAGGAGUGGUAGAGGAGCGUUGAUAUCGCAGUGAAGUCAGAUUGUAAAGUCUGGUGGAGCGUUAUCAAGUGAGAAUGCUGGAAUCAGUAACCUUAAGACAGGUGAGAAUCCUGUCGGUCGUAAGAGCAAGGUUUCCAGGGCCACAGUAAUUGUCCCUGGGUUAGUCGGUCCUAAGCCGAGGCGUAUCAGCGUAGGCGAUGGACAACAGGUUAAUAUUCCUGUACAGGUAGUAGUUGUGAACAGUUCACGGUGAAUGACCGGAGCGGAUUAAUGGUUUAUCCGUCCAAGUCUCUAGGGAACUAGAGAUGAGUGAAAGGUAAUCUUCGGAUUAUUAAUUCCGGGUGAAGCACUGGCUAGAAAAGCUGGUUCACUUAUGCUGCUGCCUACCGUACCGCAAACCAACACCGGUGCUCGGGUCGAGUAGACCAAGACCUACGUGAGAACCUUCGCUAAGGAACUCGGCAAAAAAGCGUCCGUAACUUCGGAAUAAGGACUGCCCUCUCAUUAAGAUGAGGAUUUGCUAGAAACUCAGCAGAAGAUUCAGAGUUAUGUUACUUAUUUACUAAUAAUUUAUUUUACUUCGAGACCAUAAGCUCGGCCGAACGGCCCUGAGUGUGUCGAGAAGAAAAUAAAUUUUAGUUAUUAAAUUAAAUAUUUACCUUAAUACUGAAUUUUUUCGUUGAGACAGAACACAAAUCAGGAUUUGUUUUAGCAAAUUCGUGUCUUUUCUAGUAGUCUAAUCGUCAUUUUGAUGAGAGGGCCGCAGCUAAAGAGCCCACGGAACUGUUUACCAAAAACAUAGGUCUCUGCUAACGCGAAAGCGGAUGUAUAGGGGCUGACUCCUGCCCGGUGUCGGAAGGUUAAGGGGAGAGCUUUACGGUUCGAACUGAAGCCCCGAUGAACGGCGGCGAUAACUAUGAUCGUCCUAAGGUAGCGAAAUUCCUUGUCUGGUAAGUUCAGACCCGCACGAAUGGAGUAAUCAUGUGGGCACUGUCUCGGCGAAGGCCACGGUGAACGUGCAUUGGCGGUAAAGAUGCCGUCUGAUCAUGCCAGGACGAGAAGACCCCAUGGAGCUUUACUACAACUUUGCAUUGAUUAUUGGGACAUUUUGUGUAGAAUAGGUGGAAGACUUUGAAGCAGAUACGCUAGUAUUUGUGGAGUCGAAAUGUGAAAUACCACCCUGAAUGUUUUAGUAAUCUCACUUUUGACCUGAUCGGCCAAAAGGACCGUGCAUGGCGGGUAGUUUAACUGGGGCGGUUGCCUCCUAAAGAGUAGCGGAGGCGUUCAAAGGUUGGCUAACUACGGAUGGAAAUCGUAGUGAUAGUGUAUGCGCAAAAGCCAGCUUGACUGUGAGGGCCACAACCCAAUCAGACACGAAAGUGGGAGCAAAUGACCCGCUGUACAGAACUUCGGUUCAAUUUACGUGGGAAAGACAGCGCACACGGAUAAAAGUUACCCUGGGGAUAACAGGCUGAUCGCGCCCAAUAGUUCACAUAGACGGCGCGGUUUGGCACCUCGAUGUCGGCUCAUCACAUCCUGGAGGGGGAGCACCUUCCAAGGGUCCGGCUGUUCGCCGGUUAAAGUGGUACGCGAGCUGGGUUCAGAACGUCGUGAGACAGUUCGGUUUAUAUCCGGCAUGAUCGUUAGGAAUUUUGAGGAGAUCUACCCUUAGUACGAGAGGACCGGGGCGGACGAAUCUCUAGUGUAUCGGUUGUGACCACCUGUUGCAUCGCCGAGUAGCUAUGUUCGGAAGAGAUAAGCGCUGAAAGCAUAUUAAGCGCGAAGCCCACUCCAAGAUUAGAAUUCCCUAUGAGAUCCCAGAGAGAAGAUCUGGUUGAUAGGCGCAAGAUGGAAGUACCGCAAGGUAUGGAGUCGAAGCGUACUAAUAGAUCCAUCGCCUUUUUAU
rnacentral:rRNA from 1 species